rnacentral:lncRNA from 1 species
GGCUUCUGCGCCCCUGGUCCGCGGUCGCGCGCCGCCCCCGCGCCUCUCCAGCCCUGAGCUCUCUGCGGCCGAAAGUGGCCGGGCAAGCGUUGCCAUGACAGCGCCGCGGGUGGGGAUGCGGGAGGCUGAGAGCGCCGGCCUGCUAGCCCCUUUGUGCGGCGGGGGCGGCGGUGUGCUCCCUCCAAGACCCGCUGCACACCGCUUUCCUGGCCAGGACUCUGGGCUGGGUAAGGAGGGGUUGGGUGUGGGGUUGUAGGGGCGCAAGGAAGCGGGAGGGUGGAGGCGAGGGCCGGGGGUGGGGCGCCUCCGCCCGCCAGCCGCUCCCGCAUUAAAAUUUCAUGGGCGCUGCAGCAGCUACAAAGACGACGCCGGCUGCGCUCGGGGGACCAGAGGGAGGGAGGCUGCGGACGAGUGCGGGGAGGAGUUUGAGAUGGGAGGCGCUUGCAGGGGCUCCCCCAGUUCUGCGCUGUGAGCCGGGGCACAAAGAGCCCUCUGCACUCGCGCCGCAGGACCGCGGACCCGAGAGAGCAGCAAGUUCCUGGGACAGAGGAGACAGAAGGGAAUUUCCCGGUUCUUCAGGAUGUUCACAACCACACUGAGAAGCAUCCUUGCAGAUAAGUAUUUAAACUUACCAGGCCAUAGCCUACCAGCCUGCCCUCUUCUGGUCUGUGCAGGGAAGUGUAGUAUCCUAGAAUCCCAAAGUGGGAGGGGAAAUGGGUGAUGUAGCUCAUUCUCUUUUCUGAGUCUAUGGAAGAAAGAAAGAGCUUGUCCCCAUUUUGUGGGGUCCCAGAAAGGGUGAUUUUCACACUCCACAUUCGGCAUUAGGGCUAGUAUUUUAUAAACGUCACCGUCUGGAACUUUUGAAGGCUGAGUUAAAUGACUUCACCUUGUGUACUUGUAGAACUGCUAUUAGGAGGAAGCUGGGGACUCCCUGGUAAUGUGAACUAGCCCUUUUCAAUUUUGGUGUUUUGUGAUCAUAUUUAUAAACCUUGGCUAGAGCUCCUUGGCCUUGCAGUUAAGUGAAGAGUUAGCAGUGUGACUUUAGAUGCAUUUUUCUCAGUGCAAGUGUCUGAGUUCACCUCCAGUUCUGAACUCAUGCCCCCACUCCCAGGUGCUGACAGAAAGCUUUGAAGAUAUGCUGAGAUGGCUCCCUGACAAUCCUGAUUCAGGUCUGUCAGUUGAUGAAGACAGCGUAGUUGUCACCAAAGGCAAAACCUGGCAGAUGGUCCUGGGUCAGGAUUAGUGGUCAUUCUCUGGUCUUCUCCAGACUGGUGACACAGGGUGGUCUUAAAAGAGUCCUACUCCAGCCUCUGGCUCCCCGAAUUUCCUCUGGUGCAUGGGGCAUCAGGAAAGGGCAGGGGAGAAGGAGGGGGAGCAGAAAAAUCACUGCUGGGCAGCAGGGUCCCUUCCAUUUCCCCAUCCAUUGCUUCAAACAAUGGGUGAUUAUUGUGCACCUUGAGUGAAUGUCAAGGCAGGAAGAGUCCCAGGGCCACCCAGUGUGGCAGGAGCAGAGCUGGGAUCAGAAUUCUGGAUUCCUGACUCUCCGUUCAGCUGCAAUUCAGCUGUCACCAAGCUGCUGA